AACGCACAUUGCGCUCUCUGGUAUUCCGGAGAGCAUGCUUGUUUGAGUAUCAGUAAACUCCCUCAAUCCAAUGUUUGUUGGAUUGGACUUGAGCCUAUCCCAGACCGAGGCCUUUUUUGGCCUUAGUCCCUUGGGUAGCUUAAAAUGAAAGGUGCCAAGCUACCAGUUACUUUAAACAUGGUCGAUCUGGCUAAUGCGUAUUGAUUAGUCCCUGUGGACUAUUACUUCGCUUACGCCGUAGAGACUAUGGAUUGGUUUGGCUUUGCCUUAUUUGCAGGAUUUACGCAGAGUAUUUAGAGCCCCCCCUCUAGGGGUGGUCUUCUCCCUCUGUGAUCUCGAUCUCAAAUCAAGUAGGACUACCCGCUGAACUUAA
rnacentral:misc_RNA from 1 species